rnacentral:rRNA from 1 species
AUUGAACGCUGGCGGAAUGCUUUACACAUGCAAGUCGAACGGCAGCACGGACUUCGGUCUGGUGGCGAGUGGCGAACGGGUGAGUAAUACAUCGGAACGUGCCCAGUCGUGGGGGAUAACGUAGCGAAAGCUACGCUAAUACCGCAUACGAUCUAAGGAUGAAAGCGGGGGAUCGCAAGACCUCGCGCGAUUGGAGCGGCCGAUGGCAGAUUAGGUAGUUGGUAGGGUAAAGGCCUACCAAGCCGACGAUCUGUAGCUGGUCUGAGAGGAUGAUCAGCCACACUGGGACUGAGACACGGCCCAGACUCCUACGGGAGGCGGCAGUGGGGAGUUUUGGACAAUGGGCGCAAGCCUGAUCCAGCCAUUCCGCGUGCAGGAUGAAGGCCUUCGGGUUGUAAACUGAUUUUGUACAGAACGAAAAGGCUCUGGUUAAUACCCGGGGCUCAUGACGGUACUGUAAGAAUAAGCACCGGCUAACUACGUGCCAGCAGCCGCAGUAA